UUAGGUUGCUGUUUCCAGAAACUAUUUUCUACUCAUGAGAAUAGAAAACACUCAAAAACACGUUUUACAAUCCCAAAUCCACACGCAAAAAACAUACUCACAAGCCCUCAAAUUUGUGUUCUCAAAAGUUUCUUUUCCAAUUUCCUUCUCCAAAUGUGAAAAUUGAUCGGCUAUAGUGUUGGCGAUGGUGGCAAUGCUGCAAUCUGAACUUCACAUGGGCAACGAAGGUGGGUAAAUAUGUGUGUGAGAGAGAUAAGAGGAAUGGGGAAAUGGAGGUGCUAAGAUGAAAGAGGAAGAGUGGAGUGCUGAUUAUGUGGAACGAGAGGGAGAGAUCGUGAGAAGAAAGACGGAUGCUAUAGAGAUCAAGAGGAAGAAGAAGGUGCAGAUGGAAAAUUUGGGUAAGGAUAGGUUUGAAAAGGGAUUUUCCCUUUUUUUUUUUUCCUUUUUCUUUUAAGGAAAAUAAAAAAUGAUUAAAAAAAAUAAAUUUUAUAUUAAAAAAUGCAUACGAUUUUUAAAAUUUUAAAAUUAUAAAAAUUAAUUAAAAAAUGGAUAUAAUUUUUUUUAAUCUUUAAAAUAUUAAGUUAAUCAAAGAAAAUAUAAUUUUUUUAAAUAAAUAAACAUAUUGAAAAGGAUUUAUAUUUAUAGAUUAAUUUAAUUAUCAAUUUUUUUUUUAUGUUUAAAACAAAUUUAUUAUUUUUAUUUUAAAAUUAAAAUAAUUGAAAAGGAUGUUAGAAGGAUAAGAUUUAGUAGAAAAUAGGAGAUAAAAAAGCUAAAUAGUUAAAGAGAAUUUCAAAUAAGUAUAUUCUUAGAAAUUAUAAAUCCUUGAAUUAAUAAAUAUUCCUUAACGGUAUCUACAUUAAUAAAAUAUGUUUGAUUUUACAUAAUUGUCAAUAUUUCCUUUAAAUAUUUGUAUCCAAUAUUUUUAUAAUCAAUUUAGACGGCUAACAAAAGUUUUAAAUUUGAAUUAUAAUCUUAUCGUCAUUUAGUAUGAUAUUUAGCAGUUUAUUAUUAAAAUAUUUCAACUUCUUAUUUAUUAUAAUUAUAAUAAAAAAUAUAUAAUUAAAUUUUAAAUAAAAUAAAAAAUAAAAAUAUAAUUUGAUUUCCCAUUCAAAUCCAUCACCUUCUUGUUAUUAUCUUUUGUUGAAUUUUUAUUUAUUUAUAUAUUUUUCUAUAAAUAGAGAAGAGAUAUCAAGAAAACAUUAAAUUAAAAAAAAGGUAACUUCCAAACAUGUUUUUUGUUUUAUUUGUUCUAAAAAAUAUUUUUUUAUUAACUUAACAAAACAUGUUUUUUUCAUUUUUAAGAACAAAAACUGUUUUUCAAAAUUGAGUUUCCAAAAGCAAUUUUAUUUCUGAAAACACUAAAAACUAUUUUUCAAAAAAUAGCAACCAAACAGGCCCAAAGUAUAUCUCUAUGUUUUUCAUUUUUAAGUAAAAUAUAUCUCUAUUUUUUUCUUUUAUAUUAUAUAUUUUUAUUUUCUAAGUUAUUAUUAUUAUUAUUAUUAUUAUUAUUAUUAUUAUUUUAACAAUAUAAAAAUUAUUAUAUAUAACUUAUCAAGUAAUAUAUAUAUAUAUAUAUAUAUAUAUAUAUAUAUAUAGUAUAAUAAUUAAUUUAAAAUUACCAUUUCAUUAAUUAUCAUCAUCAUCAUCAUCAUCUUACAAAUGUAAAUAAUAUCAUCAUAAUGAUUAUUGAUAAUUGUUAAAAAGCCGAAAUAAAAUAUAUUGUAUUCUUGCUUAUAUUGUAAGUUUAAUGCAUAACUGUGGCACCUACAUUUUACAACAAAUCUAAUAGUGUUAGAAGCAUUGCCUAACUCUACUAUAUUGGUUUCUACAUUUAUACACCAUCCCCAUGAAUUAGCAUCCUAGGUGCAUUCUUAUUAGUAAUGGUUUUUAUAAUGAAACUCAUAUACCUAAUAAAAAAACUAGUCUUCUAAGAUUAAUUUAUAGUAGAUGAAAUAUUGUUCAAGAGUAUAUUUAUUUAAUAAAUUAAGUAAUUUUUUUUAUAAAAUUUAUUGGUAAAUAAUAUUAAAUUUGUGCUGUCAAAUAACAUUAUCCAAUUUUUUUUUCACUUUUUAUUUGAUCAAACUAAAUAUGGAAAGCUUUCAAGAUUUUUUUUUAAGUAACAUUUUUAUUGAAUGUUAGUGAAAAUAGUAUUUUCAUGGACCGAUUCAACCAUCGGUCCCCAGUAAAUUGUGAACCGAUAAUUUUUCCGGUUCAACGAUGGGUCGGAUUCUGAAAGUUAAAAAUGCUUUUAGAGAAGGGCUGACAGAGCAGUGUCACAGUCCAUGAGAGUACCAGAACACCAGGUUGGAGAGUGGCAGGACAUUACUGUCCCUUCCUUUGGCAGCUACAUAAACAAAACUAAGUCGAGGGCUCUGGGCCUCUUUAUGGAUAGGAAUUGUACAUUUCAAGUUGGCAUUUUCAGGCAUCAAGGUAUUGAUAUAAGCCCACCUUCAAGAUUUCUUCAUACAUAUAUAACAGAAUCUCCAAGUAUGCUAGACUCAUAUCUGUUUUGAUUUCCUUUUUAUUGGAAGUACACAUGGUGGA
rnacentral:lncRNA from 1 species